GUACUGAUGAAGAGUCCCAAACUGGGACGAAACAACCUUCCAGUAC
rnacentral:hammerhead_ribozyme from 1 species